rnacentral:misc_RNA from 1 species
GAUGAAGAACGUAGCGAAAUGCGAUAAGUAGUGUGAAUUGCAGAAUUCAGUGAAUCAUCGAAUCUUUGAACGCACAUUGCGCCCUUUGGUAUUCCAAAGGGCAUGCCUGUUCGAGCGUCAUUUGUACCCUCAAGCUUUGCUUGGUGUUGAGCGUCUUGUCUCUAGCUUUGUUGGAGACUCGCCUUAAAGUAAUUGGCAGCCGGCCUACUGGUUUCGGAGCGCAGCACAAGUCGCACUCUCUAUCAGCAAAGGUCUAGCAUCCAUUAAGCCUUUUUUUUCAACUUUUGACCUCGGAUCAGGUAGGGAUACCCGCUGAACUUAAGCAUAUCAAUAAGCGGAGGA